rnacentral:rRNA from 1 species
AGAGUUUGAUCCUGGCUCAGGAUGAACGCUAGCGACAGGCCUAACACAUGCAAGUCGAGGGGCAGCACGUUUGGUAGCAAUACGGAAUGGUGGCGACCGGCGCACGGGUGCGUAACAGGUGUGCAAUCUGUCCAUAAUCGGGGAAUAGCCCGGCGAAAGUUGGAUUAACGCUCCAUGUGAGUUUGAGAGGCAUCUCUUGAACUUAAAACGUUAAGGAUUAUGGGUGAGCACGCUUCUGAUUAGAUAGUUGGUAGGGUAACGGCCUACCAAGUCGACGAUCAGUAGGGGUUCUGAGAGGAAGGUCCCCCACAUUGGAACUGAGACACGGUCCAAACUCCUACGGGAGGCAGCAGUGAGGAAUAUUGGUCAAUGGGCGAGAGCCUGAACCAGCCAAGUAGCGUGAGGGAUGACUGCCCUACGGGUUGUAAACCUCUUUUAUAAGGGAAUAAAACGGAGCACGCGUGCUCCUUCGCAUGUACCUUAUGAAUAAGCAUCGGCUAACUCCGUGCCAGCAGCCGCGGUAAUACGGAGGAUGCGAGCGUUAUCCGGAUUUAUUGGGUUUAAAGGGUGCGUAGGCGGACUGUUAAGUCAGUGGUGAAAGGGUGUGGCUCAACCAUACGAUUGCCGUUGAUACUGGUGGUCUUGAGUGUAAACGAGGUAGGCGGAAUGUGAUGUGUAGCGGUGAAAUGCUUAGAUAUGUCACAGAACCCCGAUUGCGAAGGCAGCUUACCAGGAUACAACUGACGCUGAGGCACGAAAGCGUGGGUAUCAAACAGGAUUAGAUACCCUGGUAGUCCACGCAGUAAACGAUGAAUACUAGCUGUUGGCGAUACAAUGUCAGCGGUAAAGCGAAAGUAUUAAGUAUUCCACCUGGGGAGUACGCCGGCAACGGUGAAACUCAAAGGAAUUGACGGGGGCCCG